GGGUCAGUAGGUUGGUCGUGCCACCGGUACGUACUGGUCUCACUGAUUCCUCCUUCCUCAAGAACCGUAAUGCCAUUAAUUUGGUGUUGCGGGGAAACAGGACUGUUACUUUGAAAAAAUUAGAGUGUUUAAAGCAAGCUAACGCUUGAAUACAGUAGCAUGGAAUAAUGAAAUAGGACGAUCGAUCCUAUAUUGUUGGUUUCUAGGAUUGACGUA
rnacentral:rRNA from 1 species